rnacentral:rRNA from 1 species
GACGAACGCUGGCGGCGUGCCUAAUACAUGCAAGUCGAGCGGAAGUUGGAGAGCUUGCUCUUCAACUUUAGCGGCGGACGGGUGAGUAACACGUGGGCAACCUGCCCUGCAGAUCGGGAUAACUCCGGGAAACCGGUGCUAAUACCGAAUAGUCUUCGCCACCUCCUGGUGGCGUACGGAAAGACGGUUUCGGCUGUCACUGCAGGAUGGGCCCGCGGCGCAUUAGCUAGUUGGUGGGGUAACGGCCCACCAAGGCGACGAUGCGUAGCCGACCUGAGAGGGUGAUCGGCCACACUGGGACUGAGACACGGCCCAGACUCCUACGGGAGGCAGCAGUAGGGAAUCUUCCGCAAUGGACGAAAGUCUGACGGAGCAACGCCGCGUGAGUGACGAAGGUUUUCGGAUCGUAAAACUCUGUUGUGAGGGAAGAACAAGUACCACUUAACUACUGGUACCUUGACGGUACCUCACCAGAAAGCCACGGCUAACUACGUGCCAGCAGCCGCCGCAGUAA